rnacentral:rRNA from 1 species
CGUGUAGGCGGCUUUGCAAGUCGGGUGUGAAAUCCCUCAGCUCAACUGAGGAAGUGCGCCCGAAACUGCAGAGCUUGAGUACCGGAGAGGAUGGCGGAAUUCCCCAAGUAGAGGUGAAAUUCGUAGAUAUGGGGAGGAACACCGGUGGCGAAGGCGGCCAUCUGGACGGAUACUGACGCUGAGACGCGAAAGCGUGGGUAGCAAACAGGAUUAGAUACCCUGGUAGUCCACGCCGUAAACGAUGAGAACUAGGUGUCGUGGGUGUUGACCCCCGCGGUGCCGUAGCUAACGCAUUAAGUUCUCCGCCUGGGAAGUACGGCCGCAAGGCUAAA